rnacentral:rRNA from 1 species
CCUACGGGUGGCUGCAGUGGGGAAUAUUGGACAAUGGGCGGAAGCCUGAUCCAGCAACGCCGCGUGAGGGAUGACGGCCUUCGGGUUGUAAACCUCUUUCAGCACAGACGCGGUAUGUGCAGAAGAAGGACCGGCCAACUACGUGCCAGCAGCCGCGGUAAUACGUAGGGUCCGAGCGUUGUCCGGAAUUAUUGGGCGUAAAGGGCUCGUAGGCGGUUUGUCGCGUCGGGAGUGAAAGCCAGCAGCUUAACUGCUGGUCUGCUUUCGAUACGGGCAGACUUGAGGCAUUCAGGGGAGAACGGAAUUCCUGGUGUAGCGGUGAAAUGCGCAGAUAUCAGGAGGAACACCGGUGGCGAAGGCGGUUCUCUGGGAAUGUCUGACGCUGAGGAGCGAAAGUGUGGGGAGCGAACAGGAUUAGAUACCCCUGUAGUC